AUGUGGAAUCCCUGUAACAUGUUGUACUCCCCAUAACUGACAGAAUUUACGCAUCUUCUCACUACAAUAAGCUGGCCCAUUAUCCGUUUUAAUCUGUGCUGGUACCCCCAUUACAGCAAAACACGCCGUCAAGUGACGAAUCACAUGACUAGCUUUUUCUCCUGCCUGUGGCGUUGCCCAUACAAAAUGACUAUAUGUAUCAACUGUAAUAUGUACAUAUUUGAGCCUACCCAUUGAGGGCACAUGCGUCACGUCCAUUUGCCAUAUCUCAUUAGGACCCAACCCCCUAGGAUUAACCCCUACGCCUAGACCAGAACCAUGAUGACUACACUGAGGGCAAGUCCGUACAAUUCCCUUAGCUUCCUCUACAGUGAUCUUAAACUGUGAAUGUAAUCCUUUCGCAUUCUGAUGGAACACACUAUGUGAUUCUCUAGCCUUGACAAAAUCACUAACAGGGGCAGAACAUGCUACCAACCUAUCUGCUCUAGCAUUCCCUUCCCCAAGGCCACAAUCCCACAUAUGACUACGGAUGUGAAUCACUGCAUAUGGUUUUGUUCUUCCUUGAAUUAAUGUACGCAACUGUCUAAACAGUUCUCCCAAGCGCAGUUGCUUAACAUCCUUAAUCUGAGAAUCUUCUAUCCUGUGUAACACACCCGCGACAUACAGCGAAUCGGUCACAAUAUUAAUUGUUUCCUCUCUCCACUUCCCCAUGGCCCAUACAACAGCAGCAAGCUCCAAUGUCUGCAAGGAAUCUCCCGGAACAGCUUCCAGCAAGUGGUGGUGCCACUCACCACAAGCGAUCCAGGAGACAAGGAUAUAGUUGUAGCUGAUGAGAAUAAACACUCACACAACUCCUCGCUAUUCUGAAGAGAGAUCCACCGGAGUGGAGGGAUCGGUUCCACGCAGCAAUGGUCGUAACACCUCUAACUGCGUAUUGGUAAUACCCACGACAGGCCUUAACCAUUGUAAAUCCCCCAUGAGUUUCUGAACAUCAUGAAGUGUCCUAAUAUCUGUGGUAAUAUGCGGUUUUUGCGGUCGAAUUUGGGAGUCAGUAAUUUUCCACCCUAAGUACAACCACGGUUCUUGUCGCUGAAUUUUUUCCUUAGCAAUUACUAAACCCUCCUUAUACAACUGACAAUGUAAAAAUUGCAAUUGUUGCUCAGUAAAGUCUUGUUCUUGUGCAAUAAGAAUA